rnacentral:rRNA from 1 species
AGAACGAACGCUGGCGGCAUGCCUAAUACAUGCAAGUCGAACGAGAUCUUCGGAUCUAGUGGCGCACGGGUGCGUAACGCGUGGGAAUCUACCCUUGGGUUCGGAAUAACAGUUGGAAACGACUGCUAAUACCGGAUGAUGACGAAAGUCCAAAGAUUUAUCGCCCAAGGAUGAGCCCGCGUAGGAUUAGCUAGUUGGUGAGGUAAAGGCUCACCAAGGCUACGAUCCUUAGCUGGUCUGAGAGGAUGAUCAGCCACACUGGGACUGAGACACGGCCCAGACUCCUACGGGAGGCAGCAGUAGGGAAUAUUGGACAAUGGGGGCAACCUGAUCCAGCAAUGCCGCGUGAGUGAUGAAGGCCUUAGGUUGUAAAGCUCUUUUACCCGAGAUGAUAAUGACAGUAUCGGAGAAUAAGCCCGAUAACUCCGUGCCAGCAGCCGAC